GACGAACGCUGGCGGCGUGCCUAAUACAUGCAAGUCGAACGCAGUGGGGACGGGUGAGUAACACGUGGGUAACCUCCCAUCAGACGGGAUAACACUUGGAAACAGGUGCUAAACCGCUACUGGUGGAUGGACCCGCUGUGCAUUAGCUAGUUGGUGGGGUAACGGCUCACCUAGGCUACGAUGCAUAGCGGGCCGGAGAGGGUGACCGGCGACACUGGGACUGAGACACGGCCCAGACUCCUACGGGAGGCAGCAGUAGGGAAUCUUCGGCAAUGGACGAAAGUCUGACCGAGCAACGCCGCGUGAGUGAAGAAGGUUUUCGGAUCGUAAAGCACUGUUGUUAGAGAAGCGGUAUCUAACCAGAAAGCAACGGCUAACUACGUGCCAGCAGCCGCGGUAAUUC
rnacentral:rRNA from 1 species